CACCAGAAAACAAAUGUCAAGGUAACGUUUUUUGCACCCAGGUUCUCAGACCACUUCCGGUUCAGAUCCACGGGCACACCCGAAGGCAGUUCUACCGCAGGAAGGCUAGUGCUGGUGGUCAGCCUGAAUCAAAAGGAAGAAACCUGGGCGAUUUUAAGGGCAAUCAGACACGUGGAGCCACUUGGGACACCCUGCCCUAGAGACCCUCAAACUGUUCCCUUGGGACACCCAGGUAAAGAUCUCAGGGGUCGCUGCCCGGAAACCCGACUAACCAUCUUUGGAGAUUGCGUUUUCGAGUGUUUGACGUGCUCUGUCCGGAGGAAAGCAGGUAGUAAUUCACGACACCUCGGGGAAGCGCGCAAAGACGCGGCAAGACACCGCCCCCGGCUCCGUUCCGCGGUCGCGCAAAGCGACCGUCGCUGGCGGACAGACAGGAGCGGGGGUGGCCCCCGCCGUUCGCGAGCGCGGCCAGGCUGGGUGUCCGGCAGGGGCCGCUGCAGCGGGGCAGGUGGCCGGCCCGCCCCGCGGCCUCCACGGCCCGCCCCCCGCGUCAGGGCCGCCGCCGCCGCCGUUCCCGCCUCCGGCAGGUGCGUCUCCGCGCGGCCCGCGGGCUCGGCGACCCGUCCUCCGCUCCCCGCCGGGGGUCCCAGCCCAGCACCGACCCGAGCGGACUCGAAGCUCCGCAGGCCGACGCGGGCCGGGGGGGGGGGGGGGGGGGGGCGGUGCCGGCGGGCGCAUGCGCGCUCCCCUCUUCCGGGGCCCACGACGGGUGGGAGGGCGAGGGGGAGGGGAGCGGAGCUCGCUUCUGCGGGAGGACCCCAGGAGGCUCCCCGGGCGGGGCCGCGGCCCGAGCGGAGCCCCGAGCCCGGUGGUGGCACAGCUCGCGGGCACCUGCCGCCCGAGAGACGAGGGAGGGGGCAGGAAGCGAGGUUCAAAGUCACUCGGCCGGAUCAGAGAGAGAAUCCCAAGCAAGCUCCCCACGGUCAGCACAGAGCCCGCCCAACACAGGACUCGGUUCCACCAACCGUGAGAUCGUGAAGCAAGCCGAAACCCACGGUUGGACGUUUAACCGACUGAGCCCCCCAGGCGCCUCAAAUUCCUAGUGACUUUUAAAAUCCUACCUUCAUGUCUGAGAAAAAAAAAUAAGACCGUUUAUUCAGAAGCUAGCUACAUGUCUUUGACAAGAAGUAGGCGAGUGUUUCAUCGUAUAGACGAACCACAGUGUUUUUACCCCCUUUGUAAGCUGAUGGACGUUGGGUUUGCCUCCAUGUUUUUGUCCUGGCAUCGUGUGAUGGACCCUGGUGUUCUGCUGUUGAACAUAAAUAAUUUCCUAGAACACCAACAUCACACAAGGCCACCCUGUGACCGGCGGUGAAACAGGACGAAAACAAGACAGCUGAGUGAUUAGGUCUGAACCCAGGCAAAAACAAGCACGUCUCCCAAGCCACAAAAAUGACAAAACAUUCUCCUGUCCCGGCUGAUACGAGGGACUGCAGCUUCUUGACCAGUCGUGGUGCCAGCCCCUUUUUCCUCAUUGCCCCUUUUCGGUAAGAUUCACUAAAAUAACCAAGGCAUCGUGUUCUCUGACCGCAUCCAGUCCAGAAGGCGGUCCCGCUUCCACGAACCCUGCUUGACCUUCCUAACACACGCCUCGAUCCUGUAAUAAAUCCUUUCGAAGGCUGUUACUGAAAUACCCC
rnacentral:lncRNA from 1 species